rnacentral:rRNA from 1 species
UGCGUAGGCGGGGCAAUUAGUCAGUGGUGAAAUCCUGCGGCUUAACCGUAGAACUGCCAUUGUUACUGUUGCCCUUGAGUAUAGUUGAAGUGGGCGGAAUAUGUAAUGUAGCGGUGAAAUGCAUAGAGAUUACAUAGAACACCAAUUGCGAAGGCAGCUCACUAAGCUAUCACUGACGCUGAGGCACGAAAGCGUGGGGAGCGAACAGGAUUAGAUACCCUGGUAGUCC